GGGUAGUUUGACUGGGGCGGUCUCCUCCCAAAGAGUAACGGAGGAGCACGAAGGUUGGCUAAUCCUGGUCGGACAUCAGGAGGUUAGUGCAAUGGCAUAAGCCAGCUUAACUGCGAGACGGACAGGUCGAGCAGGUACGAAAGUAGGUCAUAGUGAUCCGGUGGUUCUGAAUGGAAGGGCCAUCGCUCAACGGAUAAAAGGUACUCCGGGGAUAACAGGCUGAUACCGCCCAAGAGUUCAUAUCGACGGCGGUGUUUGGCACCUCGAUGUCGGCUCAUCACAUCCUGGGGCUGAAGUCGGUCCCAAGGGUAUGGCUGUUCGCCAUUUAAAGUGGUACGCGAGCUGGGUUCAGAACGUCGUGAGACAGUUCGGUCCCUAUCUGCCGUGGGCGUUGGAUGAUUGAAGGGAGUUGCUCCUAGUACGAGAGGACCGGAGUGAACGAACCUCUGGUGUUCGGGUUGUCACGCCAGUGGCACUGCCCGGUAGCUAAGUUCGGAAUCGAUAACCGCUGAAAGCAUCUAAGCGGGAAGCGAGCCCUGAGAUGAGUCAUCCCUGACCCCUUGAGGGUCCUAAAGGGCCGUUGGAGACCACAACGU
rnacentral:rRNA from 1 species